GGGGCCUUAGCUCAGCUGGGAGAGCGCUCGCUUUGCAAGCGAGAGGUCGCGGGUUCGAAUCCCGCAGGCUCCACCA
rnacentral:tRNA from 1 species